rnacentral:lncRNA from 1 species
UUUUUUCAUGGAUGUUGGUGAACCUUUGAUUUUUGAUAGGGUGGUCACUUGAUUUUAUUUUGCUGAGGAUUUAAACGACCUCUUUUUUUCUUUUUAUCCCUAAUUUUUUCCUGGACGGCUUCUUUGAUGCUUUCAGUCCACCGGGAUGCCCUAAUUUUUGCCUAAGUCACCUUUUAUAGUGUUCGACUUUGCAAGCUUUUUUGUUUUUUUUUGUGACAAUUUCAAUGGAAUUUUUUCUUUU